rnacentral:rRNA from 1 species
UACGUAGGCAGCGAGCGUUGUUCGGAGUUACUGGGCGUAAAGGGUGUGUAGGCGGUUGUUUAAGUUUGGUGUGAAAUCUCCCGGCUCAACUGGGAGGGUGCGCCGAAUACUGAAUGACUUGGAGUGCGGGAGAGGAGAGUGGAAUUCCUGGUGUAGCGGUGAAAUGCGUAGAUAUCAGGAGGAACACCGGUGGUGUAGACGGCUCUCUGGACCGUAACUGACGCUGAGACACGAAAGCGUGGGCAGCAAACAGG